GGAAAAGAAAGGAAGUGAAAGGGAGAGACAGAGAGGUAUUAGGGAAUUCCUGAUGUGGGAAUUUCUACCACCAGGUUUCUCAGACUGUUCUUGAGAAGGUCUUCAAAGCCAGUGGAUGUCUACCCUUACAGGAUUAUGGACCAUAAUACUCUGUAUGGAGGAGAAGACUGGAAGGGAGAGUUGAAGGGAAUAAUAAACACAGUGAAUGAAGUAAAGAGCAUGCUAGAGGCAAUCCAUCAAUGAAUUAAAAGAUGUUUUUAGGUAGCUUCCUGAGACAUAGAAGAUCCUGGGUCAUAGCUGGUUUGCUGCCCAUGGGCAGAGUGUUUCUGCUGGAUAUGUUACUCUCCUGGGAUCCUGGGCAUGCAUCCUGAUGGGAAUGGUACUGGCAAGAACCACUUUGGGUACUGUUUGAGGAAAUUGAGACACAGAAAGGAAACCAUAUUUGGCCAAAGACAUCAAGUUAUGAAGUCAAAGAGUCAGGACCUGAAUAUUAAUCCCCUAAUUCCAAGUCCAGUGAUCUUUCUGCCCUUCUGACUGUUUCCCAUCAUCAAAAAAAGAAAUAAAGAUUGAAUAAUUUCUGCAAAUUUCAGAACUGUGUUUAAUACUCUGAGAACCAUUGAAUUUUUGCAUCUCUUAACUAGAACUCUUGAGAUUCAGUUUUACAAAGGAGAAAACCAAGAAUCAGGAAAAUACAAGAAUCUUGAUCGAGUCACACAAUGAAUUAGUAACAACGCCAGAGUAUUUAAGUAGGCAAUAAAUGUGGUACUUGCUCUUGAAAAGUUCCCAAACCUUCCCUUCCUGACUUUUAUGGAAAAGAGAUGAAUCCUCCUCCAUAUGCUGUGAGCUUCAGUGACUCAGGACAGGGAAACAAAUGCUAGGCUGCCGUUCUCAGCAGAUUGGGCAAGAGGCAAUUGCCCUGGGAGGCGGGGUGGAGGCUGGGGAAGUCGGGGGCAGAAGCAAAUCCCAUAUAUUGCAUAAGGGAGAGUGGGAGUAGGGGAGGGUCUGUUUUAAUGAGUUGGCCAAAGAAGAAGAGUGGGCAGACCUCAGUGGACAGAUGACAGACAAACCUGGUGAUGACUAGAUGGAUCAAAGCUUGGCCCAGUGCAUCAUGCUCUGGGAACAGCGUUGCCUCCACCAAGUCCCUGACUUUAGCAUGGGGAUGGUUUUGAUGUCACUGCCUUUUCUUUUUCUCCUGCCCACCACCCCCAGCUUUCCUCUGAAGAGUCUCAUCCCACCCCAACAGCUUUUGCUUCCCCCAACUGACUCAGGGAAGCUGGCUUGCCUUCAGUAGGACUGGUGGUUCCCAACUGUCUGCAUGGGAACUCCAACUCCUCUGUCCAGUCUUCAGUAGUAUCCUGUAGGCUGCAGGCGCCUUCAGGCACCAAGUGCUAGGCUCCCUGAGUCUCCAUUUCCAGCCAAUUCUUCAACAGGAGGUUGCUUAUUCUCAUAAAUAAGCUUUAACCCUGGCAAAUUACUCUAUCUUCUAUGGAAGAGACUUUCUCCUAGUUCCCUACUCCAAUCAAUG